ACGGAAGGCAGCAGUGAGGAAUAUUGGUCAAUGGACGAGAGUCUGAACCAGCCAAGUAGCGUGCAGGAUGACGGCCCUAUGGGUUGUAAACUGCUUUUGUACGGGAAUAAAGUAACCUACGUGUAGGUUUUUGCAUGUACCGUAAGAAUAAGGACCGGCUAAUUCCGUGCCAGCAGCCGCGGUAAUACGGAAGGUCCGGGCGUUAUCCGGAUUUAUUGGGUUUAAAGGGAGCGUAGGCCGUGCUUUAAGCGUGUUGUGAAAUGUAGGCGCCCAACGUCUGCACUGCAGCGCGAACUGGAGCACUUGAGUACGCAGGAAGUAGGCGGAAUUCGUCGUGUAGCGGUGAAAUGCAUAGAUAUCACGAAGAACUCCGAUUGCGAAGGCAGCCAUCUGGCGUGUUACUGACGCUCAUGCUCGAAGGUGCGGGUAUCAAACAGGAUUAGAUACCCUGGUA
rnacentral:rRNA from 1 species